rnacentral:rRNA from 1 species
UUAUAUUUUUGCGGGGCCCCCCCCCCUUUUAUGGAUUUUAUUAACUUGCUCAGGACGAACGCUGGCGGCGUGCUUAACACAUGCAAGUCGAACGAUGAACCACUUCGGUGGGGAUUAGUGGCGAACGGGUGAGUAACACGUGGGCAAUCUGCCCUGCACUCUGGGACAAGCCCUGGAAACGGGGUCUAAUACCGGAUACUGAUCCUCGCAGGCAUCUGCGAGGUUCGAAAGCUCCGGCGGUGCAGGAUGAGCCCGCGGCCUAUCAGCUAGUUGGUGAGGUAACGGCUCACCAAGGCGACGACGGGUAGCCGGCCUGAGAGGGCGACCGGCCACACUGGGACUGAGACACGGCCCAGACUCCUACGGGAGGCAGCAGUGGGGAAUAUUGCACAAUGGGCGAAAGCCUGAUGCAGCGACGCCGCGUGAGGGAUGACGGCCUUCGGGUUGUAAACCUCUUUCAGCAGGGAAGAAGCGAAAGUGACGGUACCUGCAGAAGAAGCGCCGGCUAACUACGUGCCAGCAGCCGCGGUAAUACGUAGGGCGCAAGCGUUGUCCGGAAUUAUUGGGCGUAAAGAGCUCGUAGGCGGCUUGUCACGUCGGUUGUGAAAGCCCGGGGCUUAACCCCGGGUCUGCAGUCGAUACGGGCAGGCUAGAGUUCGGUAGGGGAGAUCGGAAUUCCUGGUGUAGCGGUGAAAUGCGCAGAUAUCAGGAGGAACACCGGUGGCGAAGGCGGAUCUCUGGGCCGAUACUGACGCUGAGGAGCGAAAGCGUGGGGAGCGAACAGGAUUAGAUACCCUGGUAGUCCACGCCGUAAACGGUGGGCACUAGGUGUGGGCAACAUUCCACGUUGUCCGUGCCGCAGCUAACGCAUUAAGUGCCCCGCCUGGGAGACGCGACUUG